UGGGGGUGGCGGGAAGCGGCGUGUGACAGCUGUACUCCUCUGACAGCUCCCGGGAUCAGCCUAGUGGCUCCCUGCCAUUGGCUCAGUGCAAUGGACCGGCAACGCUGCGCGGUAUAACAACACUAUGCCUGUGAGAGGCAGCAGCUCAGACUCCUUCAGCAAAGCCACGGAGAUGCUGCUGCCGCUGCGCCGCCGCCUCCGCCUCCUCCUCCAGCCAGCGCUGCCCUGAGACCGCGGGAGACUCUGGACCGUGCCCCCGGGCUCCUGCAAUUCCUGUGUGUCUCCCCCGCCCCCGCAGCCCGCGAGGGGAGGGGACCGAGCUCUGCCAGGCGGAGGAGUUGGGCGGCUGGGUUAAUUGCCGAGAUUAGCCGGAGGUGGUGUACAUGCCGGUGGGGCUCUGCUUCCUCCGAUCCCCUCAGCACAGCACCGUCACUCCGCCCGCCCUGGGUCUGCCUGAGCUGCCGGCACUGGGGUGCAUGGACACGGCUGCGGUGGAGGCGGCGGCUGCCCCAUGGAGUGUUACUACAUUGUCAUCAGCUCCACGCACCUCAGCAAUGGGCACUUUCGCAACAUCAAGGGAGUUUUCCGAGGGCCCCUCAGCAAGAACGGGAACAAAACUCUGAUGGACACAAAUGGCCAAGAGAAACUGCAAAACAUGCAUUUCAGCUAGAAGAGCCAGAAGUGAACCAGAUACUAGCUGACUCUGGUCUAACUAAGGUAUUGUGAGGCAUCAUGGGAGUGGAGUUGCAGGAAUUCAUGUAACAUAUAGAUAGGACUGAGGCAGAAGCUUUGGGAGGGCGCUCAUAUACCACAAUGAUAGGCAACUUUAUAAAGGUCCUAGAUAGGGUAUAAAGUGCUAUAGAAACCUGUGAGAUAUAAUGG
rnacentral:lncRNA from 1 species